UACGGUUCUCUCUUUGCUGCAUCUACUGCGAGAAUGAAGACCACUCUCAGCAAUCAGACUGUCCACAUUCCAGAAAAUAUCAAUAGUACUCUGAUGGGAUGCACAGUUAUUGUGAAGGGCCCAAGAGGAACCCUCUGGAGGGAUUUCAGUCAUAUCAAUGUAGAACUCAGCCUCCUUGGAAAGAAAAGAAGAGGCUACGGGUUGACAAAUGGUGGGGAAAUAGAAAGGAAUUGGUCAUUGUUAAUACCAACUGUAGUCAUGUACAGAACAUGAUCAAGGGUGUUAUACUGGGCUUCUGUUACAAGAUGAGAUCUGUGUAUGUUCACUUCCCCAUCAAUGUUGUUAUUCGGGAGAAUAGGUCUCUUGUCAAAAUCUGAAAUUUCUUGGGUGAAAAAUACAUCUGCAGGGUUCAGAUGCGGACAGGUGUUGCUUGUUCAGUGUCUCAAGCUCAGAAAGAUGAGUUAAUCCUUGAAGGAAAUGAUAUUGAACUUGUUUCAAAUUCAACCACUUUAAUUCAGUAAGCCAGAACAGUGAAAAACAAGGAUAUCAGAAAAUUUUUGGAUGGUAUUUAUGUUUCUGAAAAAGGAAGAGUACAGCAGGCUGAUGAAUAAGAUCUAAGAGUUAUCUAGUCACAGAAACACGUCCUGGAGUCGAUUUGAUAUUGAUAUUUCAGUGAUGCAAUAAAAGAUCUCUAUUGACUUUGGAUUUAAUCCUUUCCAACAGGUUGAAUAAACUUUAGUGUCCUUUCAAAGGCACAGAAG
rnacentral:lncRNA from 1 species